rnacentral:rRNA from 1 species
GAUGAACGCUGGCGGCGUGCUUAACACAUGCAAGUCGAACGGUGAAGGCGGAGCUUGCUCUGCUGGAUCAGUGGCGAACGGGUGAGCAACACGUGAGCAAUCUGCCCCUGACCCAGGGAUAAGCGCUGGAAACGGCGUCUCAUACUGGCUACGAGCUGCCAAGGCAUCUUCAGCAGCUGGAAAGAACUUCGGUCAGGGAUGAGCUCGCGGCCUAUCAGCUUGUUGGUGAGGUAACGGCUCACCAAGGCGUCGCCGGGUAGCCGGCCUGCCAGGAUGACCGGCCACACUGGGACGGGAACACGGCCCGGACUCCUACGGGACGCAGGAGUGGGGAAUGGUGCACAAUGGGCUAGAGCCGGAUCCAGCAACGCCGCGUGAGGGGCGACGGCCUUCGGGUUGUAAGCCUCUUUUAGCAGGGAAGAAGCGAAAGUGACGGUACCUGCAGAAAAAGCGCCGGCUAACUACGUG